CUAAAUUGACAGCUCGGGAGAAUUUGAGAUAGAAGCUAAAUAUGGUACAUUUGGACACUAUUUUCCUAAGCCUAGAAUGACUGGAAGACUUUAACAAGCAAAUACACUGUGGGUAUGUGGGUACAGUCUUGACUAAUACAGGCCAGAAAGAAAUGAAGGGGAGGAUCUUGUUCCUAAAAGGCACACGAAAAGUCAAUGAACAGACCUUGGGCAAAGAGAAGAUUGCUUGCAGUCAUGUGCGCUACAACAGAAAUGAAAUUGCAGACCAAAAUUCAUCGCCAGUGUGCAAGACAAAGUGUCUAUUUUCUAUUUUGGAAAUUUCAAGGAAGGGAUUAAACAUGCACAAGCACUACUUAGCAACAAAACACUGGGGAACCAUACUGUGUGUACUAUAACUUCAUUUCAUAAGACUAUCAUCACAAACUGCCAGUAUUUCAUCACUGCCAAGAUGUCUUCAGAGAAAGACAGGAGAAGUCAAGGAAGUGGCUCUCAAGACACCCCCAAUAAGCUCUCUGCCAUCACUCAAGCUUCCCACAAGGCAAGUUCACCAUCCCUGAGGAUAAUUAAUAAAUUUACUUCUAGACCAACAACCUUUAAGAAAAAACAUUUGCCUAAUCAAGUCAUAAAGUAGGUUUGUUUUCAAUUUUACACCUUUAAAAGUUCUUACUGUUAAACAAACAAAGAUAUAAAUCAGCAACUGUCUUAUACAAAAGCUGCUUGUCAGUUUGAAACAAUGAUACUUGCAUUUCUGUAUUUGUAGACUAAAUGCUUUUCUAAUCUGAUGCAUAAAUCUAGAUUAAGUGCAUCCAAUAGAACUGAUACAAAUUAUCCAUUGGCCUUUAAUUCUGAUCUCUAAAAUAUAAGUAAUUAAUUUGGUAUAAAUAAGAAGUUAUUUACCAGUGAGGAUAGAAGUGAAUAAUUGAUGUACCUGUUCUCUCUUGUACACUGUCUUGGUUCAUG
rnacentral:lncRNA from 1 species